rnacentral:ncRNA from 1 species
AAGAACACGCAGGGGAGUUCCAACCGAGGAACUGAGAGGCGAAUAGCAGCAUGUCUGCAGUGUCGCGACCCUUUGAACCUGACCCAGUUGAUACUGGCGUAGGAAGCUAGGAUCGCGUCGCU